rnacentral:rRNA from 1 species
AUUGAACGCUGGCGGCAGGCCUAACACAUGCAAGUCGAACGGUAACAGGAAGAAGCUUGCUUCUUUGCCGACGAGUGGCGGACGGGUGAGUAAUGUCUGGGAAACUGCCUGAUGGAGGGGGAUAACUACUGGAAACGGUAGCUAAUACCGCAUAACGUCGCAAGACCAAAGAGGGGGACCUUCGGGCCUCUUGCCAUCGGAUGUGCCCAGAUGGGAUUAGCUAGUAGGUGGGGUAACGGCUCACCUAGGCGACGAUCCCUAGCUGGUCUGAGAGGAUGACCAGCCACACUGGAAGGGAGACAGGGCCCAGCCUCCUAGGGGAGGCAGCAGGGGGGAAUAUUGCAAAAUGGGCGAAAGCUUGAUGCACCCAUGCCGGUGGUAUGAAGAAGGCUUUGGGUUUGUAAAGUACUUUCAGGGGGGAGGAAGGGAGAAAAGUUAAUCCUUUUGCUCAUGAACUUUCCCCGAAGAAAAACCCCGGCCUACCCCCGUC